rnacentral:rRNA from 1 species
UACGUAGGUGGCAAGCGUUGUCCGGAAUUACUGGGCGUAAAGCGCGUGUAGGCGGCCCUGCAAGUCGGAUGUGAAAUCCCACGGCUCAACCGUGGAAGUGCAUUCGAAACUGCAGGGCUAGAGUCCUGGAGAGGAAGGUGGAAUGCUUGGUGUAGAGGUGAAAUUCGUAGAUAUCAAGCGGAACACCGGUGGCGAAGGCGGCCUUCUGGACAGUGACUGACGCUGAGACGCGAAAGCGUGGGGAGCAAACAGG